rnacentral:snRNA from 1 species
AUCACUUCUCGGCUGUCUGAGCUUAAUUCAUGUGUAGCAUCUGUUCUUUGAGUGCUACUUCCGCAACAGUCCCUGAUUUGAGGUUGAUAAAUUUACAUAUGCUUGCGAACUGCGACGUGUAAUGUAAGCUUGCUUAACCCCGUCCACGAAUCGGCCUUGUAUUGCACUGGCUUGACUAUCGGCUCAUUGAUG